CAGUGGGGAAUAUUGCACAAUGGGCGGAAGCCUGAUGCAGCAACGCCGCGUGCGGGAUGACGGCCUUCGGGUUGUAAACCGCUUUCGCCUGUGACGAAGCGUGAGUGACGGUAAUGGGUAAAGAAGCACCGGCUAACUACGUGCCAGCAGCCGCGGUGAUACGUAGGGUGCGAGCGUUGUCCGGAUUUAUUGGGCGUAAAGGGCUCGUAGGUGGUUGAUCGCGUCGGAAGUGUAAUCUUGGGGCUUAACCCUGAGCGUGCUUUCGAUACGGGUUGACUUGAGGAAGGUAGGGGAGAAUGGAAUUCCUGGUGGAGCGGUGGAAUGCGCAGAUAUCAGGAGGAACACCAGUGGCGAAGGCGGUUCUCUGGGCCUUUCCUGACGCUGAGGAGCGAAAGCGUGGGGAGCGAACAGGCUUAGAUACCCUGGUAGUCCACGCUGUAAACGGUGGGUACUAGGUGUGGGGUCCAUUCCACGGGUUCCGUGCCGUAGCUAACGC
rnacentral:rRNA from 1 species